CCUACGGGAGGCAGCAGUAGGGAAUAUUGCACAAUGGGGGAAACCCUGAUGCAGCAACGCCGCGUGAGUGAUGAAGGUUUUCGGAUUGUAAACCUCUUUUAGUAGAGAAGAUAAUGACGGUAUCUAACGAAUAAGCACCGGCUAACUACGUGCCAGCAGCCGCGGUAAUACGGAGGGUGCAAGCGUUACUCGGAUUCACUGGGCGGAAAGAGCGCGUAGGCGGGAUAGCAAGUCAGAUGUGAAAUGCUGUGGCUUAACCAUAGAACUGCAUUUGAAACUGUUAUUCUAGAGUAUAGGAGAGGUAGGUGGAAUUCUUGGUGUAGGGGUAAAAUCCGUAGAGAUCAAGAGGAAUACUCAUUGCGAAGGCGACCUGCUAGAACAUAACUGACGCUGAUGCGCGAAAGCGUGGGGAGCAAACAGGAUUAGAUACCCUAGUAGUC
rnacentral:rRNA from 1 species